GCGAACGCUGGCGGCAGGCCUAACACAUGCAAGUCGAGCGCCCGUAGCAAUACGGGAGCGGCAGACGGGUGAGUAACACGUGGGAACGUACCCUUCGGUUCGGAAUAACCCAGGGAAACUUGGAUUAAUACCGGAUACGUCCGUAAGGAGAAAGAUUUAUCGCCGAAGGAUCGGCCCGCGUCCGAUUAGCUUGUUGGUGGGGUAAUGGCCCACCAAGGCUACGAUCGGUAGCUGGUCUGAGAGGAUGAUCAGCCACACUGGGACUGAGACACGGCCCAGACUCCUACGGGAGGCAGCAGUGGGGAAUAUUGGACAAUGGGCGCAAGCCUGAUCCAGCCAUGCCGCGUGAGUGAUGAAGGCCCUAGGGUUGUAAAGCUCUUUCGGCGGGGAAGAUAAUGACGGUACCCGCAGAAGAAGCCCCGGCUAACUUCGU
rnacentral:rRNA from 1 species